AACAUCCGCACAGAUAUAACAGACACACCCUAAAGCAGAUUAGUUCUGGCGUUCAAGGCAGUACUGAAGGGGGCUCAGUCACUGCAGUGAUCGCGCACCGUUACCUCUUAAACCUCGAAAAAGUAAUUUAGGAAAGGCCUGGGAAAUGAAGACAUCAUAUUGGCUGCAGUUGCUGUUUGUCCUUCUCAAAUCCUAGAAACACAUUCAGUUGAUGUCGCCGAAUCUUUUUCCAGAUUAUAAUUUGUUUUGGGAUCGUACCACGUGACAAGCAACCGCAAAGAACGGGGACAUCGAGAGAGUUUUUAAAUACUUCUAAAUUCUCUUCUUAGUGCACAAGACUGCACUUUAUCUGCAGUAUGUCAGAGAAGCAAGAAAAGGACUUUCUGUCUGAGAUGAGUCUCUCAGAGAAACAGAGUGUAAGAACAGGCUCAGAUGUGUCCAGCUCUGUGUCUGUGAAGAAUGACCAGUCAAAAGAUGAACCUCCGGAUUUAAGUGAGGAAAAACCAUCAUGUACCGAA